rnacentral:rRNA from 1 species
GACGAACCGUGCGAACGUUGUUCGGAAUCACUGGGCGUAAAGGGCGCGUAGGCGGCCGAUCAAGUCGGGGGUGAAAGCCUGUGGCUCAACCACAGAAUUGCCUUCGAUACUGUUUGGCUUGAGACCGGAAGAGGUUAGUGGAACUGCGAGUGUAGAGGUGAAAUUCGUAGAUAUUCGCAAGAACACCAGUGGCGAAGGCGGCUGACUGGUCCGGUUCUGACGCUGAGGCGCGAAAGCGUGGGGAGCAAACAGG